rnacentral:rRNA from 1 species
CUUACGGGAGGCUGCAGUGGGGAAUAUUGGACAAUGGGCGAAAGCCUGAUCCAGCCAUGCCGCGUGUGUGAAGAAGGCCUUCGGGUUGUAAAGCACUUUCAGUGGGGAAGAAAGCCUUGGGGCUAAUACCCUCGAGGAAGGACAUCACCCACAGAAGAAGCACCGGCUAACUCCGUGCCAGCAGCCGCGGUAAUACGGAGGGUGCGAGCGUUAAUCGGAAUUACUGGGCGUAAAGCGCGCGUAGGCGGUCUGAUAAGCCGGUUGUGAAAGCCCCGGGCUCAACCUGGGAACGGCAUCCGGAACUGUCAGGCUAGAGUGCAGGAGAGGAAGGUAGAAUUCCCGGUGUAGCGGUGAAAUGCGUAGAGAUCGGGAGGAAUACCAGUGGCGAAGGCGGCCUUCUGGACUGACACUGACGCUGAGGUGCGAAAGCGUGGGUAGCAAACAGGAUUAGAUACCCGGGUAGUC